GAUGAAGAACGCAGCGAAAUGCGAUACGUAAUGUGAAUUGCAGAAUUCAGUGAAUCAUCGAAUCUUUGAACGCAUAUUGCGCUCUCUGGUAUUCCGGAGAGCAUGCUUGUUUGAGUAUCAGUAAACACCUCAACUCCCUUUUCUUUUUUGAAAUUGGAGCUGGACUUGAGAGAUCCCAACGCUUUCUUCCAAGAAAGUGGCGGGUUGCUUGAAAUGCAGGUGCAGCUGAACUUUUCUCUGAGCUAUAAGCAUAUCUAUUUAGUCUGCCUAAAAAACAGAUUAUUACCUUUGCUGCAGCUAACAUAAAGGAGACUAGUUCUUGUGCUGACUGAUGCAGGAUUCACAGAGACAGCUUCGGCUGACUUUGUAAACUCGAUCUCAAAUCAAGUAAGACUACCCGCUGAACUUAAGCAUAUCAAUAAGCGGAGGA
rnacentral:misc_RNA from 1 species